rnacentral:rRNA from 1 species
UACAGAGGGUGCGAGCGUUAAUCGGAAUUACUGGGCGUAAAGCGCGCGUAGGCGGCUUUGCAAGUCGGGUGUGAAAUCCCCAGGCUUAACCUGGGAACUGCAUUCGAGACUGCAUUGCUAGAGUAUGGGAGAGGGAAGUGGAAUUUCCGGUGUAGCGGUGAAAUGCGUAGAUAUCGGAAGGAACAUCAGUGGCGAAGGCGGUCUGCUGGGCAGUUGCUGACACUGAGGCGCGACAGCGUGGGGAGCAAACAGG